AAAAAGACAAACCAUGGAUUUUCGUGUCCAACUUUGACUAUCCGUCUUAUAUGAAAUUUUUUUAUAAUUCGUAUUUUUAUUGUUGCUAGAUGAUAAAAUAUAAUUAAUAUUUUAUGUGUGACUUGUCCUUUUAAUCUUUUUUAUAAUUUUUUCAAAUAAGACGGACGGUCAAACGUUAGGCACGGAAACCAGGGUU
rnacentral:pre_miRNA from 1 species